UGGUCGCUUAGCUCAGUUGGUUAGAGCGUGGUGCUAUCAACGCCAAGGUCGCAGGUUCGACCCCUGCAGUGAUCAU
rnacentral:tRNA from 1 species